rnacentral:rRNA from 1 species
UACGGAGGGUGCAAGCAUUGAUCGGAAUUACUGGGCGUAAAGGGCGCGUAGGCGGUUAAAUAAGUCAGAUGUGAAAUUCCGGGGCUCAACCCCGGAGCUGCAUUUGAAACUGUAUAGCUAGAGUUCAGUUAGGGUAAACGGAAUUCCACGUGUAGCGGUGAAAUGCGUAGAUAUGUGGAAGAACACCGGUGGUGAAGACGGUUUACUGGGCUGAUACUGACGCUGAGGCGCGAAAGCAUGGGGAGCAAACAGG